rnacentral:rRNA from 1 species
GACGAACGCUGGCGGCGUGCUUAACACAUGCAAGUCGAACGGUAAGGCCCCAGCUUGCUGGGGUACACGAGUGGCGAACGGGUGAGUAACACGUGGGUGACCUGCCCCGCACUUCGGGAUAAGCCUGGGAAACUGGGUCUAAUACCGGAUAGGACCGCACCGUGAGGGUGUGGUGGAAAGUUUUUCGGUGUGGGAUGGGCCCGCGGCCUAUCAGCUUGUUGGUGGGGUAAUGGCCUACCAAGGCGGCGACGGGUAGCCGGCCUGAGAGGGUGGACGGCCACAUUGGGACUGAGACACGGCCCAGACUCCUACGGGAGGCAGCAGUGGGGAAUAUUGCACAAUGGGCGGAAGCCUGAUGCAGCGACGCCGCGUGGGGAAUGACGGCCUUCGGGUUGUAAACUCCUUUCACCAUCGACGAAGGUUUUCUGACGGUAGAUGGAGAAGAAGCACCGGCUAACUACGUG